GAUGAACGCUGGCGGCGUGCCUAAUACAUGCAAGUCGAGCGAACGGACGCGAAGCUUGCUUCUCUGACGUUAGCGGCGGACGGGUGAGUAACACGUGGAUAACCUACCUAUAAGACUGGGAUAACUUCGGGAAACCGUAGCUAAUACCGGAUAAUAUUUUGAACCGCAUGGUUCAAUAGUGAAAGACGGUCUUGCUGUCACUUAUAGAUGGAUCCGGGCUGCAUUAGAUAGUUGGUAAGGUAACGGCUUACCAAGGCGACGAUGCAUAGCCGAACUGAGAGGGGGAUCGGCCACAUGGGAACGGAGACACGGUCAAGACGCCUACGGUAGGCAGCAGUAGGGAAUCUGCCGCAAAGGGCGAAAGCCUGACGGAGUAACGCCGCGUGAGUGAUGAAGGUCCUCGGAGCGUAAAACUCGGUUAUGAGGGAAGAACAUAUGUGUAAGUAACUGUGCACAUCGUGACGGUACCGAAUCAGAAAGCCACGGCUAACUACGUG
rnacentral:rRNA from 1 species